UUUGAAGGAUCUUUUUUAAUACACACUGUAGGAAAUUAAUAAGACGGUUUUAUUACAAGCAGGGGUUUCCAUGGUUGCCUUGUGCCGAGAUACCUGGAGGUCAUUUUAUUUGGGGAUUUGGGGAGCCAUUUUGUGGCCGAGGACUAGUGGGCUGCUCGCUGUUCUGCUUACAGUUACCUAUUGCUGCUCACAGGGUUGCUCACAGUUACUUACUGUUACUUAGAGUUGUGGUGUGUGUAAGGCAGUAAGACCAGUCUGGGCUCACUGCCAAGGGACCAUGUGGCCGGGGUCAGGGAAACAAUUUGAUAAGUUGGUUAAAACAACCAAUGGACUGCAAGAAGAAGACUAUACCACCUUUUGAGAAAGAAAAGAGCCAGGCUUGGCAUGGGAGGAGCGAGGGAGUGGUUAUGUAAAUCAAAGGGUCUUAAAAGGCCUCGUCCUUCCCAUUCGGGCUGUGCUCGGACCUGAUCACGAGUCCGGUACACCCAGCGUGCUGUCGAUAAAGUUCUUUGUUUCACUCUAUUUGGCCAUCUCCGAAAUUUUAAUUAGAGAUAUUUCUCACACACACUGCGAUGUUUCUUCCAUGUUUGAAGGUAAGUUGGCUAUAGCAGGGCCAUGUUCUUGGUUCUGAGGAAAAAGUAACCCUAAGAAUUGUUGACUGACUGAAUGUAGAUAAAUGAUUUUUUUUUCAAAGUCUCUAACCCUACAUUCAUUUUCUCAUAUCUCCAGGUAUGGUUUUAUGCUGCCUUGACCCAUCUUAUCAUGUGUGAAUAUGACUUCCCGUAGAAACCUGAACUUGAAAACAAAAGCAUAAAUUCAUCACCCUUGGCCAAAGAGUUCAUAUUCAGAAAGGCAUUUUGGGGGGAAGUAACCCUUCUCCCUGCCAUUAUGCACUUGGAUCUCAAGCGCGUACCACGUGCUUUCCUGACGUGGGACCUCUGUCAGCACAUAAAUACGGAGGAAAACAGGCUACACUGGGAAGGAAGUGUGUUUUAACCUGGAAAGGAUGAUGAAGUGCUUCCUUCAUAUUCACAGCAGAGCUAAUCCCACUCUGGUCAUGAAUUCUGCUCCAUUACAGCUCCUCUGAGGGAGAAAAAACAGCAUUACCUUACAGCAAUGAGGUCUUCUGGCAUCUAAGAAUUUCUGCAUAUUGCAUCCAGUGAUAUCUUGCUCUAAUCAGUAUAAUGAAAAUUGUCUGUCCACUGAUAAGUGCUCCAGGUGGCUUUUGCACAGUGCUUGAGAGCUUUCAGUUAAGGUGGCAAAAGCUUCAUCAGAGAGGAGAAAAAUUUUAAGAGGAAAGCUAUGUACGGUAAGGAAAGAAGCAAUAAUCUUCCCAGUGUCAAGAGCUUGUAAAAAGAAUUUUGGAUUAAAAACCUGGAAGACUAGCUUUGUCAGGAGCUUUGAUGACAUGAACUUAAAAAGGCAAAAGGAACCCACUUAAAAACUGAUUGCGGCUGCUGAGGAAAGGUCUCAUUGUGGAGACAAAAAUGCUACUGAGAUACCUUGAGCCACUUCUGUGACAUGGAGCAUCAUGGGAACUAAUAAACUGGCCUUAGAGUUUGCCUGAAAUCAGUGAUGUCUUAUGUGAAUAUGUCCUCAGUGACUGAUGAAGAGGCACAACUGUGUUUUGGUGUAGCUGGAGUGUAGUUCACUGCUGAAAUGUUUGUGUUUAAGGUAGUCCAGGGGAAAGAUGCAGAGGAGUGGCCAGGGUGACAUAUAAGGGAAUAGACAGAUCUUUUGCAUUCUUCUUGGAUGUCACUACAAUAAAUCUCUGCUUCAUGAUGCUAAAUCUAGAGCCUUCAACCAUCCAGAAUUCUGGGACCAGAUGUCAGACCUGUCACCAGGUAAUCAUCAAGUCCUGUGUAGCUUCUUUUCUGUGUGAAAGCAGGAGGGCUAGGAACCCUCUGAUGAAAGUGAAAGUUGAAAAAGCACGACUCUUGUAGCAAGAAAUCAAUUCCACCUCUGCAGUAGUAAUAAUCUCUGUAAGAUUUGCCCAGCAAGUGCCAGCAGUGAAUUAGCACAGAGUUUGUGAAAAAUUAAAAGGAGCUGUAUAUAUAACUGUUGCAAAUGCUUCACUGCUGAAUGAUUGCUUGAAAUAGAUUGAUUUUUUUCAUUAAGGUUAAUUUUUAUUGUGAAGAUCCUGAUUUUAUCUUCUGAGUCCCUGAGAAUACUGUGUUAGACUGUCUCUAUACAAGUCAAAAAACAUUGAGGUUUAAAUUUGGGUCACAGUUCAUAGUAAUGGUUUUCCACUUAAAGAGUGGGGUUAAUUUACUUAUUUUAAAUAUGUUUCAGGUUUAGCCUCUUUUCCUCUUAUAUGUUUUUACCUGACCUGUUCUCUUCCUGUUUACUGUCCCCUUCAGAGUAAGAACAAACUCUUAUUUACUGUCUCUCUCAGCUAGAAUUUAAAAUUUGACCUGACAUUAAGCUAUUCCUUUCUGUACUGGAGGGGAAAAAAAAAUCCAAGUCAUAUGGUACUAUCCUUCACUUUCAUUGAACCAUCUGGAUUCAGCUCUAUUCUGGAGCUGAAAACUGUCAACGUCUCUUGAUGCAAAGCAAAUAGACUUAGCUAAAAGGGAAGUUCAAGCUGGAGCAUCAGCGUGUAGAAAGUUUAGAGGAGUUCAACACUGGAGGAAGGAAAUUAUUAUCUGUCAGACGAGUCUCAUCCUGCCCAAAAGCCAUAGCAUUAAGCAUCUAAUGCUGUUUCUUUAAAGAUUAGUCUCAUAUUCAAGAUUUCAGAGUAAAUCAGAUUUUGGGUUUAUUAAAGUUUACUUUUGAUUUACUGUUUGCAAAGCUUAUGUCCCAAACAAGAGGAAAGUCUAGUCUCUUAUAUCAGGACUUCCUUAAUUUAAAGAAACUACAAGGACUUGUUACUGCAUGGCUCACCCCCUCAAUAAUAAAAUUAAUACCCAUAUGAUUUUAUGAUACUCAUAAUACAAAUUAGUUCCAUGUCCUUCUGAAGUCUACAUAAUGUAAUUUAUUAUCUACAUAAUUAUGUUGAUGAUUGUAGUUAUUUACCUUCUAAAUGCCUUGAAUCAAGGCAUUAAACAAAGAAAUAAAGUAAAACUAUCAUGUAACAAAGCAUUUGAAAUGCCUUAUGAUUUGGACUUUUGUGUAGGAUCAUAAGCACUGAAAAGAUGGAGUUCACUAGUCAUAUUUAUCCUUUACCCUUAAAAAAAUCUUAGUUGAAACUGUAAGGACCCACUGAAAAGUAAACUCGUGUCACAUGGGAUUGAGUAUUCAUUCCAAAUAAUGAUCAUUAUUUGAGUCUAGAAUAUUACUUGUUAUUUUAUGUUCUUGGCAAUUAUUGUAUCUCAUUUAAAAUAUUUAUUUUUCCUUUUGGCUGUAUUUUCCCUACAAAACUGGAACAGUUAUUCUAAAAAUUAUGGUCUCCCAGGCAAAAUAAAUUCAGUCUUGGAAUUAUGUCAAGACUUUUAACUUAAGAUGAAGUUUAAAAACUAUUUUUGUGCAAAAAUGAAACUCACUUUCUCCCUUUAACUCAUCUUUCUACGUACUGCUUCUCUGGGUGUUUCUCUCUGUAAAUCAAACAUAUGCUCUUUUUCUUUCUUACUGGAAGACUUCCAAAGGUUGAGGGGAAGUCUUACAGGAAACCCUUCCAAAACAUAUGUAGGACUUGUUCUUCCUGUGCAGAUAAAACCCUCAGAUGUGUUUAAAUGCAGACUAACUGAAACUGGAAAGCUGUAAUAUUUGGUUUGGGGCACUUUUUAAUUAAAAGGUAGAAAUUUGAUGGCUAGUUUUCUCCGUUAUAAUUUGUGCCAAGGGUUUUGCUUCAUUGUAUGUGUUUCUUUCAGUGAGUUCCAGAUGUGCUAAAAAUUUGAGAUUUAUUUUAGUUUAAAUGUUUAUUUGAUCAAAUGAGCAUGUAUUGCAUUCUGAGACUUCCUUAUCAGAUUAUCAGAUGGAAAUCAGUGCAGUAUGUGCCUUUCAUGAAGUUUUCUGUAUGGCUUUGAUUUGAAAACAUCUGUCUUUUGAGCUACAAAAUUAAACCAGAAGAAAAGACCCAUACAUACAAAAGGUUGUGACUUAAAUUGUUUCCCAGAUACUGGCUUAGAUUUUCCAGGUGUCCUGGAGUCAAAUUGUAUAUUUUAUGAAUCUGAUAUUUUCUUGUGUGACUAUUGAUAUACCACAUAAAUGGAAUCCACUCUUAGAAUACUGAUGAUUCAUAGAAUUAGAAUUUUGUACAAGUGCAUUAUCACAAGUUAAUUGUGCAAUGUCUAAAGUGAUUAGCUCUAAUUAACUUUACAUAUCUUUCUGUUUUUGAUUCUCCCAGGGAGCAUAUAUUGGACUUCUAGCCUCUUAUUAUUAACAUUCUUAAAUUACGUAUGCUUUCAUGGAUCCCUUGGGAAAGUCAACCCACCCUAUUUAACAGAUAUUUCUUUUGGGGCAGCAAGGAGCAGAGAUGAACAGAAGCAGUCAAGACAGCAAUGUAUCAUCAACGAUAUUCCCAUCAUUAUUUGAGGUGUGUUACUAAGAGAAGCUGCUGAGUUACUCUCCUAGCCUGGUGUUUGCUCAUUACAUGUUUUGAAUAUAGUAUCACUAUUAUUAAGCCUUCACUUGUUUAUAAACUAUCUUGAAAUACUGCUUAACAAGGAGACAUACAGAGGUAGAUAAUUAUUAGCAUUAGGACCUAACUAACACAUGCUGAGUUCAAGUUUACAUCACAUCUUUUACACUAGUCUGCCCCGUAUUAGAAAUGCUCUCAUUUUAUUGAGACAAAAGUAGAAAAUUAAUACUAUCAAAUCAGAUAGUAUUUUCCAGUCCAGAUGGAUAUGCAGAUGCUGCCAGGGAUGUUAAAAGUGUGGCUAGCAUCAUGUGUGCAUUCAAAAUGGGCUUUAAAAAUAGUGCUAACAUAGCCAAAAAAAUGGGAGAAUGAGUAAUUCAAAGUAUGAGUGUCUGUUUCUUUUCUUCUCCCCCCCAACUUCACAGAAGGUAAGUGCUAGUAUUUCCACUAUUUCAGAUACAAUGCUGAAAAAAAAAUCUGUGAAAUUAAAGUCUGUACUCCUA